GACGAACGCUGGCGGCGUGCUUAACACAUGCAAGUCGAACGGUGACGAUCAAGCUUGCUUGGUCUGAUCAGUGGCUAACGGGUGAGUAACACGUGAGUAACCUGCCCCUGACUCUGGGAUAACCCCGGGAAACCGGAGCUAAUACCGGAUACGACACCAGCCCGCAUGGGCAUGGUGUGGAAAGUUUUUCGGUCUGGGAUGGACUCGCGGCCUAUCAGCUUGUUGGUGAGGUAGAGGCUCACCAAGGCGACGGCGGGUAGCCGGCCUGAGAGGGCGACCGGCCACACUGGGACUGAGACACGGCCCAGACUCCUACGGGAGGCAGCA
rnacentral:rRNA from 1 species